rnacentral:misc_RNA from 1 species
UACGAGUGGUGCAAACGUUAUUCGGAUUUACUGGGCGUAAAGGGUGCGUAGACGGCAAGGUAAGUCAACUGUUAAAUUUUCCGGCCUAACCGGAAGACAGCGGUAGAAACUACUUUGCUAGAGGAUGGAAGAGAGAAGUGGAAUUCUCGGAGUAGCGGUAAAAUGCGUAGAUAUCGAGAGGAACACCGAUGGCGAAGGCAGCUUCUUGGUCCAUACCUGACGUUGAGGCACGAAAGCGUGGUUAGCAAACAGG